rnacentral:rRNA from 1 species
UUUAAGCUUCCUACGGGAGGCUGCAGUGGGGAAUCUUGCGCAAUGGGCGAAAGCCUGACGCAGCCAUGCCGCGUGAAUGAUGAAGGUCUUAGGAUUGUAAAAUUCUUUCACCGGGGACGAUAAUGACGGUACCCGGAGAAGAAGCCCCGGCUAACUUCGUGCCAGCAGCCGCGGUAAUACGAAGGGGGCUAGCGUUGCUCGGAAUUACUGGGCGUAAAGGGAGCGUAGGCGGACAUUUAAGUCAGGGGUGAAAUCCCGGGGCUCAACCUCGGAAUUGCCUUUGAUACUGGGUGUCUUGAGUAUGAGAGAGGUGUGUGGAACUCCGAGUGUAGAGGUGAAAUUCGUAGAUAUUCGGAAGAACACCAGUGGCGAAGGCGACACACUGGCUCAUUACUGACGCUGAGGCUCGAAAGCGUGGGGAGCAAACAGGAUUAGAUACCCUUGUAGUCGAAUUUU